rnacentral:rRNA from 1 species
AAUAGAUACCCAGGUAGUCCACGCCGUAAACGAUGAGUGCUAAGUGUUAGAGGGUUUCCGCCCUUUAGUGCUGCAGCUAACGCAUUAAGCACUCCGCCUGGGGAGUACGGCCGCAAGGCUGAAACUCAAAGGAAUUGACGGGGGCCCGCACAAGCGGUGGAGCAUGUGGUUUAAUUCGAAGCAACGCGAAGAACCUUACCAGGUCUUGACAUCCUCUGCCAACCCUAGAGAUAGGGCGUUCCCCUUCGGGGGACAGAGUGGCAGGUGGUGCAUGGUUGUCGUCAGCUCGUAUCGUGAGAUGUUGGGUUAAGUCCCGCAACGAGCGCAACCCUUGAUCUUAGUUGCCAGCAUUCAGUUGGGCACUCUAAGGUGACUGCCGGUGACAAACCGGAGGAAGGUGGGGAUGACGUCAAAUCAUCAUGCCCCUUAUGACCUGGGCUACACACGUGCUACAAUGGAUGGUACAAAGAGCUGCGAACCCGCGAGGGUAAGCGAAUCUCAUAAAGCCAUUCUCAGUUCGGAUUGU